UGACAGAUGGGAGGGAGGCAAGAGUAAUAGUGGGCAAUGAACAAGCACUAGGGGUAGGCAGAAGAUACUUUAACAGGUACCUUCCCAGCACCCCCCGCUAUUGUUUAAGUGAUUUUUAUUCUUUUAGCAGGAGAAAAGAUAAAACUGAAGAGUUUAAGGAUUUGCCUAGAACGUCUCAAGCAAUAUCCACGGAGAAGUAAAAGAUCAAGAAGUCCGGAGGAGAACCCAGCUGCAGGAGAAAAGAAGAAUAAACAAAUUUGCAGAGAUGGAGAUCGAAAGCAAUAUCCCCUACGAAGGAAAAGAUCAAGAAGUCCAGAGCAGAGCCCAGCUGGAGGAAAAGAGAACGUUAGAGAGGACGCCAAAACAUCGCAGUACCUCGAUAUUAAAAAUUACAGCCUUAUUAAAGAACUAGGAGAAGGCAACUUUGGCAAGGUGGUGUUGGCAUCAUAUAAAAUCAAGAACCAACUAACUGCAAUCAAGAUCAUCGAGAAGCAGCGGGAGGAAGAUUUCAAAUAUGUCAGACGAGAGGCAUCGGUUCUCCAGACUGCUAGCAGAUGCCCAUUUCUAUGCGGGGCAAUGGCAACAUUCCAAACUAAGGUACAGGGUAGUGAGCUCUGCUAGGGUCUGUCUGCUUUUUGCACAUAUUAUGCUGAUAAUAAAAGUAUUUCAUAUGGCAUAUUUG